rnacentral:lncRNA from 1 species
GCUCAAAAAGAACAGCAGUUAAAAGAAAGUAGGAGGUGUUGUAUGUCUAGCCAUCUUUGCUCGUCAUGUUUUUAUAGAUAAACAAGGAUUAUUGACACUUCUGAAUUUGCUAAUGUCUUCAUGGAAGCAUUACUUGUCAAAGGUAUGUAAGGUGCCAUUAUUGACUUUUUGUACAUUGAAACCUUUGAUUGAGUGCAACAGAUUAAGACCUGGGUUAUAUUUUUAUGUGUAGGAUUUGAAUUGUCAUAUUUUCCGUACAUGAGUUGUUGCACAUACAUUGGUGGAUCUUUGUUUCUUUCUUUUAUUCCUCUACAAGUCCUUGAAGUCUUUUAAAUGUGUUGACGCGUACAAUUUUCAGUUUGGCUUCCUUUUGUUUCUUCUUACUUUCCGUUUCUAUACUUUAUUCUGAGAAGUAAGAACGAUUAAGCACGGCGCUGACAAGUAGAAUUAAGAAGUGAUUAUUUACUUAGGACUUAGGUUAUAUAAACUGAUUUCUGUACACUAUCCGUGAUAUCUUAAUAGAAGGUUAAUUAUCAAGUUUACUAGAUUACCUGUAAUGCUUAUCAAGAGAUUUACAUGUAAUUACCUAACAAGAGAACUCAUUGUGUGAAUAAUAUUUCUAUCAUCAGUGCACAGUGCAUAAACUUAAAAGACUUUUAUUACUAAUGGUCCAUUUUCAAUCAGCCAAAUCACAUGAUAGAACAUCGUUUGAGAAGGACUGGUUUAGAGUGAUUCAUACUAGGAUUUUUGAAAAUAUUUCAUCCUUGGUGUUCCUUCUUUCUUUAUAGUUUUCGAAGUUUUUAUUUUGGGACCUCAGAUAUGCAAAAUAAAUAAAUAAAUAAAUAAAUAAAAAUAGUUAGACCGAGAAAACAAAAACCAUAAAUAUCGAUUGAAUUGGACUUCAAAUUUCUUUUUCUCGUAUAGGUAAUUCGUGGAAUAAGAAAGAUCCAACUAAACAGUAGUAAUCACAAGGCUAUUAAAAUUUGAACUUCAGCUCAAUUAAAAUUGUAAUAUCUUGACUAUUGAUUUUCUUUGUGCAAAUCUGGAAUUCUUUUUUUUUUUUUUUUUUUGCAGGAAGAUUGCUUUAAAUAUAGGACCAAAAAGUAGAAAACACAAUUCAACUGAAGAUUAAUAUCACGGUGAGCAAAGGUAAAUGCUUUAGAACUAGUUCAUGAUCUUGAAAUCUCAUACUUGUUUUUUUUGUUUGUUUAGUAGAUCGGAGUAAAUCUCAAGGGAAAUCAAACUAUCUAUUCCAUGGUCAAGCAGGAUCGUGCCAAGCCUAACAAGUGCAAACUCAUACUACGCAUAGGGUGCAAGUCCAAAUUGUCUCGACACAUAUAUUGAUGUAACAAUAUAUUUUCCCA